rnacentral:lncRNA from 1 species
GGACUGCCAGAAAGAAAAUCAUGAACAAACAAAGGAAAGUCAGUGACUACACCCUGCUUUGUCUUUUGGCUCUCAUCUUUCCUGGCUCUAGUAGAGUUUGGGUACUUCAGAACGCCUACCAAGAUCUCUAUCAAGUGGGGGAUGCAGCGGUUAUACAAUGCAAAGUAGAUUCUGAUCAGGAGAAAGUUGGGAAGUGCACAUUCAAGUGGACUAUUCCAAAUCCAAAAGAAGAUGGCACAAAUGAUAUACUGUAUGCUGAGAAAUAUGAUCAGCGUAUCAGACUACAAUCAUUUAAUGACACAUUCACAACACUGACUCUGAGAAACCUGUCCAUGAAUGACAAUGACAAUAUAAAAUGUAUUGCAUUUUGCUAUGUGGGCAAAAUUUUUAGUCGCAUAGAUGGUGAUGGAAUUUCUCUUCAAAUUUCAGACAAAAAACUUGGAUGGGAUACAACAGAAAAAACCCAGACAGUGAGCACUGAAAUGAUAACAGGUAUACUCACUCCUUCUCCAACCAGUUUUUUGAGGACACUGCUAUCGGGGUGCAUUUUCAUCUGAUUUUAGAAAAAUGCCACAGAUUCUUGGAGUAAAUGGUGUUUCUUUAAUGAUUUCAGCUGGAUUUGACGAAUCGCAAUCAUCUCUGUCGUGGAUCAACUUUCUGCUCAUCAGCAUAAAUAUUGUGGUGUUUCUUGUGAUCACUUUCAUCUGUAUUUCUCUAGUAAAAUUCAAAACGAAAUGGAAGAACUAAUUUUGCAAGCCUCUCUAAUGCUUAGCAUUACAUAAGUGUACUUAGUUUCUACUGAUAAAUGCAUCAUUAAUGUUGUCUUGUGGCUUUGAACACACACACACACACACACACACACACACACACACACAAUAUAUAUGCAUGCAUAUGCAGAGCAUUUAACCACUUCCUGUUUCAAAUAAAGGCCUGUGACAGUGAGAUGAAAAAGGAGUGUAUUUUAUUGUGAG